UCUCCGUUGGUGAACCAGCGGAGGGAUCAUUACCGAGUUAUUCUACUCCCAAACCCCUGUUAACUUAUACCUUUCCUAUUGCUUUGGAGGGUUAACGCCCCGUAAUGCCCGAGAUGUCCGCCGUAACCAGGCGCCCGCCGGGGGACCCAAACUCAUUUAGCUUUUGUAUCUCAUGUCUUAAUGGAAUCAUAAACAAAUGAAUAAAAACUUACAACAACGGAUCUCUUGGUUCUG
rnacentral:misc_RNA from 1 species